GCUUACGACCACACCGGCCUGAGUAUGCCUGAUCUCGUCUGAUCUCGGAAGCUAAUCAGGGUCGGGCCUGGUUAGUACUUGGAUGGGAGACCUCCUGGGAAUACCAGGUGCUGUAAGCU
ensembl:rRNA 5S_rRNA 5S ribosomal RNA